GCAGUGGUGGGGGAGGAGGCCGCUUGGAGAGGUGGGGCAGGGGGAGGAGGGGGCGGGAGACAAUGGCAGGAUGAAUGGAGAGGCGAAGGCGACAGAGGAGGAGGGGGAGACGGGAGGAGUGGGGAAGAGGCGGCUGCCACCCAGAGGGUAGACCAGGCCAGACAGGAAAAGGGUGAAAGUGCAAACAGCAGGAGAAAUGCUGCGAGCCCUUCCCUUCUCCUGCCCAGAGCUGGGUGCGCGCUCACCUCUACCCAGCCGGGCUGCUCACCUUCAGGAGCGGGACCCCGCGCGCUGCAGAGCCGGACGCCGGGGCCGGACGCCCAGCCACCGAGUCACACCCCAGGACGCAGUUACUCACCGCGCGCAAAGCAGCUGGUGGGCCCCCAUGAGGAAAUUCAGGCGCAAUGGACCUUUUUCCCAACUACUUUAACUGGAACAUCCUCCAAGGCUGGGGCCCACUUUCUUUGAUUUGCCUUGGGCCCUAAAUAAAGUGCAUCUAUCCCGCGUAUCUAAUAAAAGUUUUCCUAAAUCUG